UCCAAGGCGAGGUAUGCUUCGAUCUGGUUAGGAACCGAUGGAGGCUCCCAUUGCUUGGAGUUGAAGAGGAGACCCAACUCAGCAGGGAUUGAAUCGAAACCACAAGCGGAAACGAUUAGAGAGCCAGUCUCUUCUGCUCUUUCGUGGUACUUAGCUUCCAUCCUCUCCAUGAACUCUGGCUCACCACUUAUAUCCAAAUAAUCACACCUACACACACAAAGUUCAACUUUUUAAGUUCACACUCACCAGAGAGAAAACAGAGGAAAAGACGAUUUUAUCCUGAGUCCCCGCAACAAAGAAGCAAACCAAACAUAACAAGAUUUACAUAUUUGUCAUCAAAGUUACAAGCUUUAACCAUUACUUUAGAUUGCAUCAAGUUUAACUUUUUUUUGUAAGUUGACAGAGUAACAAGUGAAAACAGAGAAAAAACACGAGUUUACCCAGAGUCGGCACAAGCGGCGACGACGGGAUCGCCAUGGAUACGGAACGGUCCGACACAGUUGAGGAUGAGUUUGGUCUGAGUACAGAGACGGCGAAGUGAAUCCGGG
rnacentral:lncRNA from 1 species